CGCCAUUUGUACUGGAGGUGCGAUUAAUUCGUCGUCUGAGCACUUAAAAAACUCAAAAGCAUGGCUUUUUAGGGCCGAAGGAACAGGAGAGACCCAAUAAUUUGACCAGUUACGUAAUGAAGGAAUGGUAGAAGGGCCUGUUAGGAGAGGGAAAUCAGUUCAUAAAAACAGUUAGAAUUGUGGAAAACUUGCAUCAUAAUAAAACCAGAGAAUUUUUUGAAGAGGGGAAUGGGGCUGAAUUUCAGCCCCAAUAAGGGAAGAGUGAUGGAUACAUUCUCAAGUCAUUGGCCAACCUUUGCUGUACAUCAGACUAAGACUGCAACUUACCAUGCGAGGUAACAACAAAAGCAGAAUGUCUACUGACUAUGAACUUCAGUAAUCAGAGAUGCAGGCCUUUGUUCUACAUGAUGUAUGAGGAAAACAUAGUGGAUUUUUGGAUUUCACAGCAAUCAUGGAACAUGUUUGAUAAAUCAUGCUGCAGUGAGAAACCAAGAAAUUUGUGUGUGCAUAGUUAUGUGCCAUGGAGUGUCAUGGAAAAAGGAUAUGGAAAAUAUAGGGAUAAGGAUGUGUGAAGCUGCAGGAAAGCAAGGAGGAAGCUAAAUACCAAGAAUUCCAGAAGAAUAGGGCUGUAGGUCUGUGAUGGAUGUUGCUAUUAGACGUAGGGAGUUGCUCUACAGGUUGAAUUGAUGAUUUUGAAGUAACAGCAAGGAAGAAUGGCUUGUUACAAACCAUGGACUUCAGAAGAUCUUUAUUCUACAUGCUGUAAUUAGGGAACAAUAGUGGAUUUUCUGAUUUCAUGCUAAUAAUAGAAAACAGUUAACAAGUAAAUGGAACAUUUGUAUUUAGAAUCAUAUACUAUUAAAUAAUCAAGCUGCAUUUAAAGUUAUGCAAACAAUAAGUUACAAAUUUUACAGUUGAAGGGAGGUAACUCAAUUAAGAAAGACCACUAAAAUGCCAUUGGUUAUUUGUAUUUUGAAGCCCACUUUGCAGAAAAGCAAAGACAUAGUCGUCCAAAUGUCUGUUUGGUGUAUGUGUGUUAGUGCAUACCUCUGUCCGGAUUUAAAAAAUCCGGACAAUAACUUUGACAUGCAUUUAUAUUUGGCAUGAAUAACAAUUAGCAUUGUUCAGGCAUCCCAAGAAGGGCCUUUAAA